AAAAACCCUAACAUCAAUUCUAAAUUUAAGAUUAAAAAUUUAAAUUUUGGCUUAUAAGAAUAAUUAUAAAUAAAAAUAUGAGGGUGUUAUAAUACAAAUACAGGGUUCUCUAAAAUUCUCUUUAAGAAAAGAAAAGUUUAGGAGAACCAAAAAAAACAUGGGAGUCGAUUGUGCCCCAAUUGCAUAAGAUUACCUAUCACCAUGUCCACGAACAUCAUCAGUUUAUCACACACUAGAGUUCACUGUCAAUAUAAAUUUAAUGAGACUAAUGAUUCACUUUAAUGUUUAAGGUGUGUUAGAAGCUUGUAGUAAUAUUCCAUACUGCGUACUCCCUCUAUUUUUUAUUUGACGUUUUUUUUCUAUAUUUAACCAUUUGUAUAAUUCCAAGAAUUUAUAUAAUUAUUAAAUAUUUUUAUGUUUAAUUAAUUAUUAAAACUUUAAAAAUAAUAUAUAAUUUCAUAUAUUUAUAUAAAAUAUUUAAAUAAGACGAAUGAUAGUUCAAAAGUUUAACAUUAAAUAAAAAACAGUUGAGGACUCGUAAGGAUAUAUACACUUGGGUAGGUCACAGUCCCAGUGGUCCCACCUGUAAGUGAGACGAACGUGUUGACCCUGGUCAACACUCAACUCAGUGAGAAAGUGAGACUGAGUGACAUAAAUGCCGGAAGAGAAGACGAGAGAGCAAGCAACGAUGGCGGCCAAACCCAAACCCUCACCCUCGCCGCC
rnacentral:lncRNA from 1 species